rnacentral:rRNA from 1 species
CGGGAUUGCCCCAGUAACGGCGAGUGAAGCGGCAACAGCUCAAAUUUGAAAUCUGGCCUCUUUCGGGGUCCGAGUUGUAAUUUGUAGAGGAUGCUUCGGGUGACGGUCCGGCCUAAGUCCCUUGGAACAGGGUGUCAUAGAGGGUGAGAAUCCCGUCUGCGGUCAGCGCCCGACCCCGUCAGAAGCUCCUUCGACGAGUCGAGUUGUUUGGGAAUGCAGCUCUAAAUGGGUGGUAAAUUUCAUCUAAAGCUAAAUACCGGCCGGAGACCGAUAGCGCACAAGUAGAGUGAUCGAAAGAUGAAAAGCACUUUGGAAAGAGAGUCAAACAGUAUGUGAAAUUGUUGAAAGGGAAGCGCCUGCGACCAGACCUGUCUGCGGGCGAUCACCCGUCGUUCUCGGCGGGGUACUCGUCCGUCAGCAGGCCAGCGUCGGUUUCGGCGGCCGGACAAAGGCCCCGGGAAUGUACCUACCCUCCGGGGAAGGCUUAUAGCCCGGGGUGCAAUGCGGCCAGCCGGGACCGAGGACCGCGCUUCGGCUAGGAUGCUGGCGUAAUGGUCGUAGGCGGCCCGUCUUGAAACACGGACCAAGGAGUCUAACAUCUAUGCAAGUGUUUGGGUGUCAAACCCAUACGCGCAAUGAAAGUGAACGGAGGUGGGAACCCUUCAGGGCGCACCAUCGACCGAUCCAGAUGUCUUCGGAUGGAUUUGAGUAUGAGCAUAAAUGUUGGGACCCGAAAGACAGUGAACUACACAUGGAUAGGGUGAAGCCAGAGGAAACUCUGGUGGAGGCUCGCAGCGGUUCUGACGUGCAAAUCGAUCGUCAAAUCAGUGUGUAGGGGCGAAAGACUAAUCGAACUGUCUGGUAGCUGGUUUCGGCCGAAGUUUCCCUCAGGAUAGCAGUAACGUUUUCAGUUUUAUGAGGUAAAGCGAAUGAUUAGAGGCCUUGGGGGCGUAACGCCCUUAACCUAUUCUCAAACUUUAAAUAUGUAAGAAGUCCUUGUUGCUUGGUUGAACGUGGACAUUUGAAUGUACCGUUACUAGUGGGCCAUUUUUGGUAAGCAGAACUGGCGAUGCGGGAUGAACCGAACGCGAGGUUAAGGUGCCGGAAUGCACGCUCAUCAGACACCACGGAAAAUGAUAGAGCGAGGUUGCAUUGGAAUUGUAAAUGUGGUGUCAAAUGGGGAUGAAAAGUCCCGUGUCAGUCCUGAACAGGGCCAGGUCUUUCAUCUGCGGAGCCAGCUGGCCAUUAACAUGGUCGGCCAAUCCGCUGCUGCGUCUCUUUGAAGCAGUCCACAGAUUAAGUGGAGACCGGCUGCAGCAUCUGUUGCGGCUCAAGAUAUAAUCGGCCAGGGAAGUGUCGCUCUCUGAUCUCGCGCAAAAAGUGUUAGUUCAUCUAGACAGCCGGACGGUGGCCAUGGAAGUCGGAACCCGCUAAGGAGUGUGUAACAACCCACCGGCCGAAUGAACUAGCCUUGAAAAUGGAUGGCGCUCAAGCGUGCUACCCAUACCUCGCCGCCANNNNAGAAACGAUGCCCUGGCGAGUAGGCCGACGUGGAGGUCCGUGACGAAGC